rnacentral:lncRNA from 1 species
CAGUCUAGAUUAACUUGUUACAGGACAGCUAUAUUUAUUAAUACACUUUAAUUAACACCAUUUUCAUCUAAAUCUGUUUCCUUUUUUAACUUUAUAGAGGGAGAUGGUUAAAAUUGUGAUACCAGGAAUUGGUCUUUGUUUUGCACUUGAAGUUUCCCAAUAGGCCGAAGUUAGAGGAUGGUGUAUCCAUUAAUUAGGCUAUUUGGUGCAUGGACAUGCUUUAUAUGGAGCCCUGCUGCUCUUCACCCUACUCUGAAUAACACCAUAGGAGUGGACAGGCUGACCAUUUCUUGAGCCCAGAUGUGAACCCAGUCAAGUGCCCUGCUGAUGCCUUCUGCCCUGCUGGCAGCACCGAGCCUGAGUAUUGCAUGGAGGUGUUUCUUUACAAGUCAGGAGACUCUUGUCACCUGGCCCCUCUGAYGAUCAUCCUCCUGGCCGCUUUCGCAGCAGGUGGGAUCCUUGUCCUCUUUCUGAUAAUUCUGAAGAGAAGGCAAGAAUAUAGGAAGAAAUCUUUGAAGUCUCUGCUGUUACCAAAAGGAUCAGGACAACACACAACGUAUGGUGUGAUGGAGCACACAGAACCAGUGUACGCUGGUUGGUAGCAAGCUGUGAAAUGUUAUCAACAAGCUUUCUGUUCGUUUUUCUGUAUUGGCAAUAUGGAUGUGUGUAUAUGGGCAAAAUGUUAACCACAAUCAACCUAUUUCAACCUCUGUAGCUAAAAUAUUUAAUUAUACUAACCACACAUGCACAGAAAUGCAAAUAAAUCAUUUCACAAUCAGUUGUGACUACUUGUG